UUUAUAUUCCUCCCGUCCAACAAAAGAUGUCUCAAAUUUGUCAAAAUUUGGAUGUAUCUAAACAUGACUUAGUGUAUAGAUGCAUUUCAAAUUUAGUCAAAGUUGAGACAUCAUUUUUUGAACGGAGGGAGUAUAUC
rfam:Brachypodium distachyon strain Bd21 chromosome 3, whole genome shotgun sequence.